rnacentral:rRNA from 1 species
UGGAUUAGGCAUGCAAGUCGAGCGCUGAUUAUGAGGUAGCAAUAUUUCGUAGUCGGAGCGGCGCAAGGGUGCGUAACACGUGGGCAAUCUGCCAUGAAGUUUGGGAUAACUUGCUGAAAGGCGAGCUAAUACCGGACGUGACUGCUGGGAGGCAUCUCCCGAUAGUUAAAGUUGGGGACCGCAAGGCCUGACGCUUCAUGAUGAGCCCGCGGCCUAUCAGCUAGUUGGUGAGGUAACGGCCCACCAAGGCUAAGACGGGUAGCUGGUCUGAGAGGACGACCAGCCACACUGGAACUGAGACACGGUCCAGACACCUACGGGUGGCAGCAGUCGAGAAUUUUUCACAAUGGGCGCAAGCCUGAUGGAGCGACGCCGCGUGGGGGAUGAAUGGCUUCGGCCCGUAAACCCCUGUCAUUCGCGAUCAACCCUUAUUAUUUAAAAGAUGAUGAGCUGAUAGUAGCGGAAGAGGAAGGGACGGCUAACUCUGUGCCAGCAGCCGCGGUAAUACAGA